rnacentral:rRNA from 1 species
CCUACGGGAGGCAGCAGUGGGGAAUAUUGGACAAUGGGCGCAAGCCUGAUCCAGCAAUGCCGCGUGAGUGAGGAAGGCCUUCGGGUUGUAAAGCUCUUUCGGCGGGGACGACGUACCCGCAGAAGAAGCCCCGGCUAACUUCGUGCCAGCAGCCGCGGUAAUACGAAGGGGGCGAGCGUUGUUCGGAUUUACUGGGCGUAAAGGGCGCGCAGGCGGCGAGUUUUGUCAGGCGUGAAAGCCCCGGGCUCAACCUGGGAAUUGCGCUUGAAACGGGCUUGCUAGAGAUCGGGAGAGGAGCGUGGAAUUCCCAGUGUAGAGGUGAAAUUCGUAGAUAUUGGGAAGAACACCGGUGGCGAAGGCGGCGCUCUGGACCGAACUGACGCUGAGGCGCGAAAGCGUGGGGAGCAAACAGGAUUAGAUACCCUUGUAGUC